rfam:Kyrpidia tusciae DSM 2912, complete genome.
CUCUUAUCGAGAGUGGUGGAGGGACUGGCCCGAUGAAACCCGGCAACCACCGCCGGAAGGCGGAGAGGUGCCAAUUCCUGCAGGACCUGGGUGGAUCCUGAGAGAUAAGAG